GAGAGGUGAUGACACAGAGACAGGGGCUGUGUGUGUGUGAGGGGUGUGUGAGUGUGUGUGAGUGUGUGUGUGUGUGUGUGUGUUUGUGGGGCUCUCCUGGGGGCACUGAUGGCAGUGCUGAGCCAGGAGUGCAUCUGAGGCGUGUUGGGCACCUCGGGGGCCCCUCUGCAACACUGCCUGUGAUUAAAGCCCCAACAAAGCCCACCAGGAGAGCCCAGGCAGCCCAGAUGUCUCCAGGGUCACCAGAUCCUGUGCUCUGAUCUCA
rnacentral:snoRNA from 1 species